rnacentral:tRNA from 2 species
GUCCCCAUAGUUUAAUGGAUAGAACACUGGCUUGCGGAGCCGGCGAUAGAGGUUCGAAUCCUCUUGGGGGCACCA